rnacentral:misc_RNA from 1 species
GAAAUGCGAUAAGUAGCGCGAAUUGCAGAAUUCCGCGAGUCGUCGAAUCUUUGAACGCACCUUGCGCUCGCCGGCACCCCGGCGAGCAUGCCUGCUUGAGCGCCGAAGAGCGAAUUGGUCACGCGAGUUGAGACCGCCCUCCUCCGCACAUGGGAGAGGGGGGUCGGACGCGCGUGGAGGGUGGGCUCAUCCUCGAGGGGUCACGACCACUCGCGGAGGCCUGAAGACCGCACCACGCCGGGUAAGCCCUAACCCUGGAAAGGGAGGGCAGCGUCACCGCGGAGACUUUGGCGCUGUGACGAGGGCGGCGAUGGUGAGCCCGCCACCCUCCGCCAGCGGAGGGAAGGGGAGGAGCGGACGCAUUCCGUCCACAAAAAAAAGAAGGCCUCAAGUCAGGCAG